rnacentral:misc_RNA from 1 species
GAAAUGCGAUAAGUAAUGUGAAUUGCAGAAUUCAGUGAAUCAUCGAAUCUUUGAACGCACAUUGCGCCCGCCAGUAUUCUGGCGGGCAUGCCUGUCCGAGCGUCAUUUCAACCAUCAAGCCCCCGGGCUUGUGUUGGGGACCUGCGGCUGCCCGCAGGCCCUGAAAACCAGUGGCGGGCUCGCUGUCACACCGAGCGUAGUAGCAAUCACCUCGCUCAGGGCGUGCUGCGGGUUCCGGCCGUUAAACAGCCUUACAAAACCCAAGGUUGACCUCGGAUCAGGUAGGAAGACCCGCUGAACGGA